rnacentral:rRNA from 1 species
AUUGAACGCUGGCGGCAUGCCUUACACAUGCAAGUCGAACGGCAGCACGGGGGCAACCCUGGUGGCGAGUGGCGAACGGGUGAGUAAUAUAUCGGAACGUGCCCUAGAGUGGGGGAUAACUAGUCGAAAGCCGGAUUAAUACCGCAUGAGACCUGAGGGUGAAAGCGGGGGAUCGCAAGACCUCGCGCUAUUGGAGCGGCCGAUAUCAGAUUAGCUAGUUGGUGGGGUAAAGGCCUACCAAGGCAACGAUCUGUAGUUGGUCUGAGAGGACGACCAGCCACACUGGGACUGAGACACGGCCCAGACUCCUACGGGAGGCAGCAGUGGGGAAUUUUGGACAAUGGGCGCAAGCCUGAUCCAGCAAUGCCGCGUGCAGGAAGAAGGCC